GUUUUGUUAACGUUAACUAAUAUAAAUCUUCCUUAACAUAUUGUCAGGCAUGCCAUAAAGCCCUCGAGCUACGAUGGAGCAAAUUCCAGAGAAAUGCUACUCUUUUGAAGCGCCAGUUAACAUGGCAAUUUAACGGCCAUUUGGGUAAGAAAGGAAUCAGUGGGCACAUCAAGGUUUGUUAUGAAGAGAAGACUCUUUCAAUAGAGGUAAAAAUGCCCCAAGAUGCAUCAAGCAGCAGUGUUCGUGACACACGAGGACUUUCAGGGGGAGAACGCUCUUUUUCAACUUUGUGUUUUGCACUUGCUCUUCAUGAGAUGACUGAAGCUCCAUUUAGAGCAAUGGAUGAA